GACAUAUUACAACAUCAAAACAAACAAAAAUACAAACACUACAUACACCGGUGACAAGGGUGCUUGGCGGAAGUUGCACCCACACUUAGCCCACCCAACCUUGACCCUUUUGUCCAAUAAUUUUUUUUAAAUAUUUAAGGGCCCCGCAUUCCACUAACACUUACCACACAACUUACAUCCUAUUCCCCCAAGAGUUUGCAAAUUAGCACAUCAUAUCGACUAUUAACACUUACACAUAUAAAUAAUUUAUUGACAUAUCGAGAGUUGACUUAAUCCUAACAAAUAAAUAUUUGCACAACGUUGACUUUAAAAUUCCUAACCCCUGAAUCUGUCUUUAUGUGAGCCAAUCGCUCGGGCUACUACAGUCUACGAAGAGUACAUAAAAAUUUUUGCCAAACUGACCACUUUUAGCAUCUACUCCCUCCCUAAUAGAGCUCUGUUAAGGGGGUAUUAUGGACGUUACCUUAUGUCCAAAAUUACCAAUAAACUGGAACUCUCCCUUCGUAUGACGGUCUAACCCUACGCUCAGGUAUAUAACCGGGCGUUAGAAAUUUUCACAAUAUUAAAAUCUUAACCUAAAUUCUAUACAUUAAGGACAAUCACACUUAAACUACAGAUAAUUACAUUAAAUUAAACUAGUCAGUACAAAAUUUUGGUGUCAUUCCAUUUUUCAUUCAAAUUAAUUAUUAAUCAAAAUUCUCUUCUUUUUUUUCAGGCCGCAGGAGGAUUAUUUACGUACGCCACUUGGCCGCAACAACCGGUUAGGACUCGAUGAGGAUGCUGACUCUUUUGACGUCAGGCCUACCGAGCCGACCACUCUUUGAUUCUCAGAACUUUGGCGUACCAGGGCUUAGCCUCAACCACGGACUGGGCAGCGGCGCUUUCUUUAUAUAAAAAUUUGCUGACCUCCUCCACCGAAAACUUGGAGGGGUCAGAUAUCUAGCCGUCUUUUGUUGGGGUGUUAUCUUAAAAGAAAAAAACACAACAUCGAAACACCAAAAAGACAUACACUAUUAGAACAACAGAAACUUACAAAAUUUUGGUCACACACACACAUACAUAACAAUCGGCAAAUAAAAAUAAAAAAUUUUACGAAAACUUUAA
rnacentral:sRNA from 1 species